rnacentral:lncRNA from 1 species
UAGAUCUCACCCAAGAGACUUGUCCAGGAUCAUAUAUCAGGUGGGUGACACCCCCUCCCAAAAUUUCCUUGUGCCCCUUUGCAGUCCACCCCUCCUCCACUCUUGUCCCCAGGCAACCCUGACCUGCUUUCUCCUAUUAUAGAUUAGUUUGCAUGUUCUAGAAUUUAUGUAAAUGGAAUCAAACAGUAUGUACUCUUUCUCCGUUUGGCUUCCUUCACUCAGCCUACUUGUUUUGAAAUACACCCAUGUUAUGUGUAUCAAUAGUUCAUUCAUUUUUAUUGCUGAGUAGAAUUCCAUUGUAUGAAUACACCACAAUUUGUCUAUAUAUUUACCAGUUGAGUGACAUUUGGGUUGUUUUCAGUUGGGGACUAUUUAAAUACAGGUGCUCUAAACAUUCAUAUAGAAGUCUUUGUGUGGACAUAUGUAACUUAGGAAUAUAUUAGGUCACGUAAGUGUAUAUUUACCUUUUUUUUUUUUUAGAAAUUCUGUUUAAUUGUUUUCUUUUUUUUUGUAAGUCUAUUUAUUUAUUUUGAGAGAGAGAGAGAGAGCAUGAGCAGGGGAGGGGCAGAGAGAGAGGGAGAAAGUGAGAAUCCCAAGCAGGCUCUGCACCAUCAGCACAGAGCCCAAUGCGGGGCUUGAACUCACAAACCAUGAGAUUGUGACCUGAGCCAAAAUUAAGAGUCAGACUCUGAACCGACUGAGCCACCCAGGUGCCACAUAGGUGUGUAUUUGACUUUUUAAGAAACUGCCAAACUAUUCUCUAGUGGUUGUUCCACUUUACAUUUCCACCAGCAUCGUCCAAGAGUCCCAGUGACUCUGUAUCCUCACCAACACCAAUUAUGAGUUUUGAGUGGUUGUGAUUUGGCAACUUUCUCUAUUUCUUCUCUUCAUCUUAGGCUUGGGUUGCCCAGACAAAAGAGGUGGAGGCAUAACUUAGCUACUGAUGUUUCAUUGCAGGGUAGGGGUGGGGAAUACAGAUUGAGGAAAAACUGGAAGGGAAGCAGGGAAGGAGAGAAAAGAAACACAAGGUGGUACAUUGCAAAGCUAGUCAUGGGCACAAGAAAACACAGGAGGCCACUCAGCCAUGGAAUGUCUCUGGAGAAGCCAUAUGGAACUGGAACAUCUUGGCAGGGUAUGUGAUUAAGGAAGGGAGAGGAAUUUAUCCACUGAUGGCUUUCCAUCUCUUGUCAUUCUUGGUUCAAAUUUACCCCCAUGGAGCCUUAACUCCCCUGAAUGUGUUGUGUGGCCCCUUUGGACAGCUGCUGGGGAAACCAGAUCUGACACCCCAGAGCAUAGCAUGGGCAUCCCAGGGCGUGGUUCUUCAUCUGAGUCUAGAAACAAGAGCCUCUGGUUGCCCAGUUAGGUUGGACCAGGACAUCUAGAGCAUGUGUUUCUUGCAGUGAAGGUGAGGGGAGGCUGUGCUGAAGCCUAGACAGGACUCUGUGGGAGGCUGAGCUCACAGCAGUUGGGAGAUGAACUGGCAGUGGGGCCAGCACUGAGCACUGGAGUGGUGCCACAGCCAAUGCAGUGGAGCAAACCUGGAGAGAUCUGUAAGUUGAGUUGGGUACAAUCUUUUGAGAUACUUUAUGUCUAUUAGCCCCUCUAAUCUUUGACAUAGCCUUGGAAUGCAGGCAGGGAUUUAUAGACCUGCAUUUCAGAUGAAGAAAGGUAGGUCUUGCCUAAGCGACUUGCCCGGGAUCGUACAUCAGGCGGGUGAGACACUUGGGCCUCUGUCUGGACCCAGUGCUCUUUCCACAUGCUAUACAGAUGCCAGAUAUUCUAAGAUGUACAUUUUGGAGACUGUGUCUGGUUUGGGACACCAUCAAGAAGACAGAAAAACACAUCCCAAAUCUCGUGUUGGGGUUUUUUUUGUGGGGGGGAGGUUUGGCUACUUUGGGGGAGUCAGGCAGCAGGAGGUCCAGAUAAUGAGACUGCCAUGGAAAGGAAGUUGGGGAAUCUGGGAGUCUAGUCCUAAUUUGUGUGACCUUGGGCCAAUGAUUGUUCCCCUUGGACCUCUAAAUCAGCAAACAUUUGGUGAGAAUGUAUGCACUAUGUGCCAUACAUUGUACCAAUUGUGGGGAAUAUCAAAAUGAGGAUAAUAGUCCUUGUCCUAAUGAAAUUUCCAAUCUGGACCCUCCCCUAUGUUCAUUCAUCCUGUCAAGUGGGGGAGUCUCUUUCUCCUUUGCCUUGAAUCUGGGGAUAUUGAUCAUGAGCUUGAAGAAGCUCAAGAAUAAUGAGAGAUGUAGGAUUGGCCAUCCCUAUCAGCCCAGCUGGCAGUCAGUCAAUCCCUAGAAGCAGAGCCAGCCUGCUGGUCUGCAGUUAAGCACAGACACACACAGAUCCAGUCAAUACUAGAAGAACUGCCUAACUGAGCCCAGCCUGUACUACCAGCCCACAGAAUUGUGAGCUAAAUAAAUGAUUGUGGUUAUAAGUCACUGAUUUUAAGCUGUUUUAUUAUAAAGCAACAGCUAUCCAAUACAACAUGCAAAAUGCUUAGCACAGUAACCACAGUUUAACUAAUGGAGAUGAUGAUGAUGAUGGUCGUGGUGGUGGGCAGUAUCCAUGCUCAGGCCACUGUUGGGAAUAGAAGAAAAGGUGGCUUCAUGACUCCCAAAGCAGCUCGUGGCAUGACAUUAUUCACAAGAAGAAAAGGCAACAAUGACUUCCAGUGAAUUUCUACUGACUUAUUUAUUCUUCAAGGUCUUGACCAAUUAUAAAGACCUUAAGCCUGGCUAAGGAGAUUUGACUUCAUGUCCACUAUGAAGAUCCACUGACAGAUUCUAGGCUGAGAGUGUGGGAUAAUGACUAUUUUAGAAAGAUAGUGCAGUGGUCAGAAAGGGUCAGGGAGAGAGACAGCCUGAGGGAGGGAGGAGGACAAUGUCAGCCACCUCCUUAUGCCUUUUAUAGCACCCAUGACCCUUAGAAUAACUCUGACUCCUCAGACUCCACAGGGUCUGAGGUGCGAUUGACCUCUAUCUACUUGAAUCUUUCUCCCCCGUUCUCACUCUGCUCCACCCACCAAUUUCUCUUAGUCCCUUGGACAUGCCCUAAUUCAUCUUCCCUCAGUGCCUUUGUACAUGCUAUGCUGUUGCCUUCCUUUCCUUCCUGUGUCACUUGUACUCGUCCUUCAAAUUUCUGUAACUCAGAUGUCUCUGAAUCCUUAAUCUAAACCAGGUCACCCUGAAGUACCCACCAAAAACGCUAUGCUUUUCUUCUGUGGCAGUUGCCAUGGUUUAUACUUGCAUGUGUAAUAUAGGAGUCAUGAUUCGAUGGGUAUCUGUCUCCUCCACCAGACUGUGAGCUCUGCUGGAUCUGUCUUGCUUACUGUUGUGCCCAGAGCCUGGCCCAAUGCCUGGUGUGUAUCAGGCAUAAACAAAAUGAAUAUAAAAUGAAUGGAUGCUCUUAAGUGAAAACCCCUUGGGGCAGAAUAUCCAUGCUUACUUAGAAUCUCUCUGUCCUGAAAUGACAAAAGAGAAAGGAGAGAGAGACCACAAUCCUUAGAGCUCUUCUUGGGGACAAAUUGGUCUUGCCCUGGAAGUGUCACUCAGGACUCUGGCUCCUGUUUUAUAGCCAGAGGACACAUUUAAUCCAGACAAUAAAUAAUCCAUCCCACCAGCCCUCAUGGCUGAGCGGAAGGUCCUUAAGGAAAGACCAACACUGAUGUGGAACAUUGAGUUCCCCAACCUCAAGGACACAGAAUUUUCCUGCAGGGUUUUAAUCAUCUAUUUGAACAAGGAAUGUUUCCCCAAGCCUUGCUUCAUAAACAAGUCUGUGAUCAGAGGCAAACAAACAGCCCCUGUGUGGACAUCUGACGUCUGGAAGAUUUCAUCUGGGCAGCAGCAGAGAGACUUCACAGAGAAGCCCACAGAGUUGAAAGCAAUGAAAACCUUUGUGGCCAUAUCCCAGUGUCCCCAAAUAGGACAGUCAUUGACAUCUCUCCCCUUCCUUUUGAAGAAUUCCUUUUUGUAAUUGGAGCUCCUGGCUUAUAUACAGCUAUUUGUGGGUUUAUGUGCCCCUAUCUUUCCAUUUCUCCUACUAGACCUUUUAUGAGGGCAAAGGGCAAGGAUAGAUCUCAUUCACCCAUUGUUUUCCUACCCAUACAUUGCUCAAUGCUUGGCACAGAGCUGGCCCCAUAAAUGUUUGCUGAUUGGAUAAGCAGUGGUGAAAGGUUGAGUUACAAGUGGGAUGGAGAGAGGGCAAACAGUCUGAGAAUGGGUUCGUGUAUACAAAAAAGGUAAAGUUAAAAGCCUAGUGGAGAAAUGGAGUGGAGGCUGAUGAGACUGGGAGUCCCUGAAUCAAGCCAUGCCCGAAGAUUUGACCAUCAGUGGAGUUUUCAGUCAUUUGUGCCAGAAUAUUCCCUUUGUUGACUAAUCCAUGUCCACAGAAAGACUUUAUAUAAACAUUCACAACAUCUGUAUUCUUAACAGCUAAAAACUAGAAACAAUCGAGAUGUCUAUCAACAGAUGAAUGAAUAAACCAAUUGAGAGAUAGCCGUAAUUCAUAGAACAGAAUACUAUUUGGCAACCCAGCAAUAAAAGGAUCGAACUACUGAUGCAAACAGCAAUGUAGGUGAAUCUCAUAGACAUUAUACUGAACCUGAUAAGCCAGAUUCAAAGGACUACAUACUGUGUGAUUCUAUUUAAAGGAAUUUUUGGAAUGGCUUAACAAAACUAUAGUGAAAUGAUUCAGAUGAGUAGUCACCUUUGGAGAAGUGGGAAUUGACUGGAAAGCGAGGUGAAGGAACUUUCUGGGGAACUGGAACUAUUUUAUAUCUUGAUCUGGCUGGUAGUUACAUGCAUGUACAUAUAUGUAAAAACCAUCAAGCUGUGCAUUUUAGAUGCAUGCAUUUUACUGUAUGUAAAGUAUACCUAAAUUUUUUUAAGCAUUGGAUUAGAUUCUCUCUGAAGUCCUUGUAAUUCUCUUGUGUUUAGGGUUCCGGGAUAGAGUAUGGGUAAUUGUUCCCCGUUUCUGAGUUCCUUUGGUGUCCUGUAGCUAGAAGG